ACUAACAAGGAUUCCCCUAGUAAUGGCGAAUGAAGCGGGAACAGCUCAAAUUUAAAAUCUCCGUUGCUUGCAACGGCGAAUUGUAGUUUCGAGAAGCACUUUCUCGGCGGAUCCGAGGUCGUCCAAGUUGCUUGGAACAGCACGUCGUAGAGGGUGACAACCCCGUCUGCGGCGAUCUCGGCCGUUCACGAUGUGCUUUCGACGAGUCGGGUUGUUUGGGAAUGCAGCCCAAAAUGGGUGGUAAACUCCAUCUAAAGCUAAAUAUUGGCACGAGACCGAUAGCGAACAAGUACCGUGAGGGAAAGAUGAAAAGCACUUUGAAAAGAGAGUUAAAAAGACUGCAUGUGACUCAAGGUAUAAUGCAUAAGAAACGUAAAGAGUAGAGACUUUAGUGUAGGUCUUAGCAUAGUGAAUUGUUUUUGAAGAAGUUAGAAUUUACAGUGUAAGCAUAAGAAACAGAAAGAUGUGAAAAAUUAGGUUGUGUGGCUAAACACUAUAAAAAUGUUCAAUUUUGCAAACAAUAUUGACUUAAACACGAAGGUGGGGUAUAAAAGGGCCUUAGCCCCGCUCCUAUUUCCCAAAUGGAGAGAAAUUCCAAUAUGGUGGCCAUUACCGAUACGAGCCCAGUCAAGAAAGAAUGCCCCCAAAUCUAAUGAUUUGAUAUCAAACAAAUUAAAUAUUUUCCAAAUGAAAGAAAAGAUAUGUUUGAUUUGUAAUUCAA
rnacentral:ncRNA from 1 species